rnacentral:rRNA from 1 species
AUUGAACGCUGGCGGCAUGCCUAACACAUGCAAGUCGAACGGCAGCACAGUAAGAGCUGGCGCCUACGGGCGGAGAGUGGCGGACGGGUGCGGAAUACAUCGGAACCUACUUUUUCGCGGGGGAUAACGGAGGGUAAUUUAGCCUACUACCGCAUAAGGCCAACGGGGGAAAGCAAGGGAUCGUGCGAUCUUGCGGGACGGUAUCAGCCGAUGUAGGAUUCGCUAGUUGGCGGGGUAAAGGCACACCAAGGCGACGAUCCGUAGCUGGUCUGAGAGGAUGACCAGCCACACUGGAACUGAGACACGGUCCAGACUCCUACGGGAGGCAGCAGUGGGGAAUAUUGGACAAUGGGCGCAAGCCUGAUCCAGCAAUACCGCGUGGAUGAAGAAGGCCUUCGGGUUGUAAAGUGCUUUUGUUGGGAAAGAAAAGCAGCUGGUUAAUACCCCGCUGUAAUGACGGUACCGAAAGAAUAAGCACCGGCUAACUUCGUG